rnacentral:rRNA from 1 species
CUAACGAGUGGGCGUCGGCGGAAACUACAGGGCUUGGGACCGGAAGACUUGAGGGGUACGUCUGGGGUAGGAGUGAAAUCCUGUAAUCCUGGACGGACCGCCGAUAGCGAAAGCACCUCAAGACGACGGAUCCGACAGUGAGGGACGAAAGCUAGGGUCUCGAACCGGAUUAGAUACCCGGGUAGUCCCAGCUGUAAACG